rnacentral:lncRNA from 1 species
GUGGAACCACCUUGGGUAUUGCCACCACCUCCGCCUUGAGUGUUCCCUCCCUGAGUAUUGCCACCACCUCCGCCUUGAGUGUUCCCUCCCUGAGUAUUGCCACCACCUCCGCCUUGAGUGUUCCCUCCCUGAGUAUUGCCACCACCUCCGCCUUGAGUGUUUCCUCCUUGGGUAUUGCCCCAUCCUCCACCCUGAGUAUUACCACCCUGGGUAUUACCAUCAUCUCCACCUUGAGUGUUUCCUCCCUGAGUAUUGCCACCCCAUCCUCCUUGAGUAUUUCCUCCUUGAGUCGACAUUGUUUCACUAGAGAGACUUGAAGUUUGCUAGAAUUUUUUUGUGAAAUAUUUUCGUGUCUGCAAACCAAAGGAUUGUGAAUCCUUAUAUAGACAUAUAGGAAAUAAACUGUGACUUGGAAUAUUAUUAAAUUAUUCAUUGCUGAUUAGAUAACUGAAGUAGAAGUUAUAGUUAAUUAUUUAAGAAAGACCAAGACUUUACCAAUUGCAACAUUAAAAUUUAUUUUCUUUUAUGGAGGAAAUUGAAUAAUUAUCUCAAAGUCUUUUUUUUAAAGGAAAAAAAUUCCAUAGGCAAUAUUUCAAUUUGUAAAGCCACAUCUAUUGAAUUAAUUUUACACAAAAUUUUAAUUAUUUGAUAUAAAUUAUUGAACGAGAAUUUUCACAUUUUUUUAAUCAUUAAGUAUUUGGUAAGUAUAAUUUUUUAAUGUGAGUGCUUAAUAAUUGUAAUUUUAAUUAUAAAUUAAAAUGUUCGAUAACUGUAAUUUUAUAAAUUUAAAGAUUAAUUAGGUCAAUAUAAAAGUUGGAACUGCUACUAAACUUUCCUUAUAAUAUUAUGGAUUAGUUCAUAUUUAAAGUAUGUGAAUUUGAAAUUACAUAAAUAAAGGAAGAAGUGAUUCUUUAUUUUAUCAAUACGAAAUGGGAAAGGAACUAAUGAAUUUAUUUAUAUUAUUGCAAAUUUAAUAUUUUAUCGUAUAUAAAGCUUGAUUGUUGUUUUUGGCGUUGAUUCUUGAAAAUAAUGAACAAUUAAUAUAUAUAUAUUCUAUGAAUUAUUUUUCUAAUAUAUAUUGAUUACAGGUAGAAAUGAUGAUGGUGAAGUACAAUUAAAUAUCUAAAUCCUGUAAAAUCAUAUUCUUAAUGUUCUAUUAGGUCCAUGAUUAGCCAAGCAUCUACAGAUUUGGGUACUAAAGAUGAAAAAUGUAAUCCAGUUAAGAGAACCUAACAAGCAGAAAUUUUUAUUUUCAAAGCAUUCUGAAAUUGUUAGGGAUAUGUUUAAAUGAAUUUAGUUGAUAAGAAAAAAAAGUUUCAACCUUAACAUGUUUUGCAUGGACGAAGUGCGUGAAGAAGCUCGUGAUCUCUGAACGACAGAUCUAGAGUUGAUCAGCAGUGAUGGUCACUCCCUAAUUUUUGUCAAUUCGUCAAUGCAGUAAGCACAUUUUUUGCGAUCUCAAUGUUCCCUCUUCCCUUUUUCACUUUUAAUUACAUGUUGUUUUCUUAAGAAAUUAAAAUUUAAUUUAUUUGUUGAUUUUACUUGUUGCAAGUAAAUAUAAUUUAAUUUAUAUAAUAUAAUUUUUAUUAAUUUUUGUUAUAAAUUAUAAUAUUAUGAACGGUUUCUAUUAUUAAAUAUAGAAGUUUUGUUCUAUUUUAAUAAGAAAUCACAAUCCGAGAAGCUUUUAUCAUAUCUUAAUUAAGAAUUGAAAUAUAAAAUGAAAGAUAGACUGUUACUUUAGAAUGAAAAGACAUUAUUACAAUAUUUGACAUUUUAUGAGAAGUCAUUCUUUAUUUGCUACUAUCUUAAUGGGUUAUGCUUAGAAGGAAUUAAUUAAUUUUCACUUUGCAAAGUCUUGGUCUACAUUUUGUAGAUAAUUAUCAUUAAUGUCUGUAUAAAUAAAAUUAAUUAAUUUUCACUUUGCAAAGUCUUGGUCUACAUUUUGUAGAUAAUUAUCAUUAAUGUCUGUAUAAAUAAAAUUAAUUAAUUUUCACUUUGCAAAGUCUUGGUCUACAUUUUGUAGAUAAUUAUCAUUAGUAUAGUCACAGAAAAUCAACUCUACUUUUAAUGAAAAGUCUUGAUUAAGUGUGAUGUUUGAACAUAAUUUUGGACGGCGUGAUUAUCUUAUAAAAUCUAAAGGGUGGUUUGUUUAGGGAAUAAAAGUUACUUGUUUAGAAAGAUUAAAAAAAAAAAAAAAUCAAAUAUGACAUUUUGAGUUCAUUUGGUUCCUAAAUUUGUUUAGAAAGAUUUAAAAAACUAGAACAUUUUAAAUUGAUUUAGCGCUUAAACUUAUUUAGGAGAAUUAAAAAAUUCCUUAAUGGCCAUAUAAAAACCUUAAACGAUUUAUAUUUUGAAAGAGAUGGAUUAGUAAAUACUAAACAUGAUUAGACAAAGUAAUUGCUUUAGUCGAUAGCCAUCAACAAAAUAGGCCGAGUCAAUUAGGACAAAAAAAAAAAGUAGAGAAAGAUCGAGAAAAUGUUUAAUGAAAAGACUUGAUUAAGUUAACAUUUGCAGAAAAUAAAAAUGAGGUGAUGUUUGAAAAUAAAAAAAUAAAAAAUAAAAAUUUUAUGCAGGACAAAUGAGUGGUAAAAAUAAUAUUUAGUGACAGAAUUUCAGCAUUUAGUGACAAAAAAUUCUAUCACUAAAUACUGAAAUUUUGAUUUUAAGCACCAACCCUUUAUUUUUUUCUCAUCUAACUUCUCGUUCAUGUUUUUUUUUCUCCUUACCUUAGCUUUCUUCUCCUUAACUUAGCUUUCUUCCUUUUUUUUCCCUUCUUCAUCAUCAUCUUCCUUUUUUCUUUUUUUUUUUUUUUAUAAGGAAUAGAAACUUGAAAUUUCUUAAUUAGAGAUAGCAUUAGUUUAUAAACUGUGACUUGGAAUAUUAUUAAAUUAUUCAUUGCUGAUUAGAUAACUGAUGUAGAACUUAUAGUUAAUUAUUUAAGAAAGACCAAGACUUUACCAAUUGCAAUAUUAAAAUUUAUUUUCUUUUAUGGACGAAAUUGAAUAAUUAUCUCAAAGUCUUUUUUUUGAAGGAAAAAAAUUCUCAAACUCUUCGUCUACUUAUUUUUUAUUUAUUUAUAGAUCAUGUAUAUUUAUAGGCUAAUCGCUCUCUCAUUGCCUAUAUAUAUAUAUAUAUAUAUAUAUUGCUAUCUAGGCAUGCCCACCGGUUCGGUUCUAACCGGAACCGAACUGUACUGUAGACUAACCGAAAUCGGACCGAAACCGGCGGUUUAAAAUUUUGAACCGGAACCGGUGGUUCAAGGACCGGUUAAGGUUCAUGUGAAUAUUAAAAAAUGAACCUGAAUCGGCCCGGAACUGGCGGUUUCGGUUCGGUUCGAACCGGAUUCACAAAUAAAAUUAUUUGUUACUUAAAAUUUUUUAUAAAAAAAAUUUAUAUCACUUAAUUUGAUUUAUGAUGAAAAGAAGAACACAAUUUGAUUUAUGAUGAAAAGAAGAACACAAUCAUACAUAGUUUAUAAAAAGUAGUGAAAAAAAAAAAAGCAGUAUCAUUAAAUCAUUUGACUUAAUUGGUAAAAAAAAAAGGUUCAAACUAACCGUUUGAACCUUUUUUUUUUUCACAUNNNNNNNNNNNNNNNNNNNNNNNNNNNNNNNNNNNNNNNNNNNNNNNNNNNNNNNNNNNNNNNNNNNNNNNNNNNNNNNNNNNNNNNNNNNNUGUGUAAAAAAAAAUGGUUAAAACGGCUAGUUUGAGGCGACAUUUAAUUUUUUUAUUUUUGGUAAAUAAAAUUUAUUCAUUUUUAAUCAAUUAUUUAUUUAUUAUAAUUUACUAAAUUAUCCAAAAAUAUAGUUGUUAUUUUUCUGUUAUAAGGGACAAUUUGGGAAACUACAUAAAUGAAAAAUAUGUAAAAAUAUGAUCGGUUGAUUAUUUUUUUUCACAACUAAUUAUAUCCUAUCUCUCCUCUUCUUAAUAUUGCUUUAUUUUCAUACAUCCAAUUCUAAAUUCCAUUAAUUUCAUCUUCCAUUUAUUCNNNNNNNNNNNNNNNNNNNNNNNNNNNNNNNNNNNNNNNNNNNNNNNNNNNNNNNNNNNNNNNNNNNNNNNNNNNNNNNNNNNNNNNNNNNNNNNNNNNNNNNNNNNNNNNNNNNNNNNNNNNNNNNNNNNNNNNNNNNNNNNNNNNNNNNNNNNNNNNNNNNNNNNNNNNNNUCAUUGAUUGAUAUUUCACCGCAAGAAACAACAUCUCCUAAUAUUUCAAUAGGUAAACCACCAAAAAAAUAAAAAAUAAAAAAUUUUAUGCAGGACAAAUGAGUGGUAAAAAUAAUAUUUAGUGACAGAAUUUCAGCAUUUAGUGACAAAAAAUUCUAUCACUAAAUACUGAAAUUUUGAUUUUAAGCACCAACCCUUUAUUUUUUUCUCAUCUAACUUCUCGUUCAUGUUUUUUUUUCUCCUUACCUUAGCUUUCUUCUCCUUAACUUAGCUUUCUUCCUUUUUUUUCCCUUCUUCAUCAUCAUCUUCCUUUUUUCUUUUUUUUUUUUUUUUCUUCUUCAAUACCAUCUUGUUUAUAUAUAAAAUUAGACAUAAAUAUGAGUCGCGUAAAAGUUCUUUUAACUUAAAAGGUUUAAUUGUUGCAAUUCUAAUAUUACCUUCUUUAUUCUCACUUGUAUAUAUAGUAGUAUUUAAGAAAUAGUAUUGCAUAAAUUGAAAAUCACUAGAAAUACAAAAAAAAUUUCACUAGAAAUAGUAUUGCAUAAAUUGAAAAUCACUUAAGCAAAGUAUACAAAUUACAUUAAAACUCUUAUUAUUUUGUGAGUUACACAUUAUUAAUAAUAAAACUCCUAACCUACCAGUUGUGGCUGCCUAUGUGAGAAUAGCUAUUGGGUUCGAUCUCCACUAGACACACCUGCAGGGAAGGGUUAACUGUAAUUAAGCUCCGAGCCAGAUUAGGCGUCUCUCGUAAUAGGGUUCGACACCGGUGGUUUACAAAAAAAAAAAAAAAAAAAAAAAAAAAAAAACCUUAUUAAUUGCAUCUAAAUGAAAUUGCUAAAACACUAAUGGAAGACAACCGCAAAGUCUUGAUAUUGAUCUGAGAAGUGAUACAAUUUGACACAAAAUUCCUUCUUGGGCAUUUUCACCUUGUAGAUUCUUACUUGGGGUAUCUCCAGCUUGAGUGACUUGAGAAUUUCCGCCGUGAAUGUUUCCUCCCCUAAUAUUACCACUUCCGCCUUGUAUAUUUCCUCCUUGAAUAUUACCGCUGCCUCCAAUUUGAGUGUUUCCUUCCUGGGAGGCCAUUGUUUCACUGAGAGAGAACUUGGAACUUUUGUUAGAAUGUUUUUGUGUAAUACUUUCGUGUCUUGGAAGUGAACUGUGACUAAUCAGAAAAUUGUGAAUCCUUAUAUAGGCAUAUAGGAAAUGAAGUGUGACUUGGAAUAUUGUUAUAUUAUUCAUUGUUGAUUAGGUGACAUGUGUACAAGGUAUUGUUAAUUAUUUAAGAUAGACCAAGACUUUACUGAUAUUAAAAAAAGAUUCAAUACAUAAAUUCACCAUGGACUUUUUACGAAACAUUUUGUAUCACUCUUAACUUUUACUUUGACUCAUUAAAUACUUUAAAUUAUAAAAUUAGACUUAUAAAAUAUUUUAUUGGAUCAAUUAAACACUUCAUUUUGUAAAAUUAUAUCAAUUAAACACUUAUUGAAUACUUUAAGUUAUAAAAUUAGACUUAUAAAAUAUUUUAUUGGAUCAAUUAAACACUUCAUUUUGUAAAAUUAUAUCAAUUAAACACUUAUUGAAUACUUUAAGUUAUAAAAUUAGACUUAUAAAAUAUUUUAUUUGAUCGAUUAAAAACUUCAAAUUGUAAAAUUAGAUCAAUUAAAUACUUAUCGGAUAGUUGAAAACUGUAAAAAAUCAUUGUUAUAUAAAAUACAGGAAACGUGAUUCGCAACGGAAAUGUAGAAACCGACAGAACUGUUGCUAAUAGCAACGGAUUAGAAACAGUUUAGAAACGGAACAACACUUGCAUGUUAUAAAGCUAGAAACGAAUUAGAAAGAGAUUUAGAAACUUUAUUUAGAUACGGAAACAAAUUUAAUAUCCUCCACCUUGAGUGUUUCCUCCUUAGAUGUUACCAUAUCCUCCACCUUGAGUAUUUCCUCCCUGAGUGUUACCCCAUCCUCCUUAAGUGUUUCCUCCUUGAGUAGACAUUCUUUAACUAGAGAGACUUGAACUAUGCUAGAAUGUUUUUGUGAAAUAUUUUCGUGUCUGCAAACCAAAGGAUUGUGAAUCUUUAGAUAGACAUAUAGGAAAUAAGCUGUGACUUGGAAUAUUAUUAAAUUAUUCAUUGCUGAUUAGAUAACAGAUUUAGAAGUUAUAGUUAAUUAUUUAAGAAAGACCAAGACUUUACCAAUUGCAACAUUAAAAUUUAUUUCCUUUUAUGGAGGAAAUUGAAUAAUUAUCUCAAAGUAUUUUUUUUAAAGGAAAAAAAUUCUCAAAGUCUUCGUCUACUUAUUUUUUAUUUAUUUAUAGAUCAUAUAAAUUUAUAGGCUAAUGGCUCUCUCAUUGCCUAUAUAUAUAUAUAUAUAGGCAAUCCCAUUCAUUUUCAGGUAAUUUAAGCUUGAGAAAUAAACUGGAGUUGGGUAGAGGAAGAAGAGGAGAAUACUCUGCUCCUGCUUCCAUGAGAACAUCUCCAACAAAUAGUGGCCUUCUUGUAGCAACAGCGACACUUCCUUCUUCCACUAGUGAUAGCACUAUGGAGGAAUUGCAGGCUGCAAUUCAAGCAGUAAUUGCUCAUUGCAAGGACUCCAUUGCUGCUGAAGACAAGAUCAAAUGCUAGUUGUUUAAUGUUAGAUUAUUUUUCCUUUUUCCAAUUUUUUCGUAUUCGAUUUGUAUUAUUAUUAAUUAUUUGUACACCUGCGUAUAAUUGAAGUUGUAUAUAUAAAUCUAUGAGAUAAAUGAAUUUGGAAUAUAUAUUAAAUCAAGAUAGUUUUGAAAGGAUUAAUUAGUAUACAUCUUCAUGAAAGAAUCAAGUCUUAUGCUUUGUUGAGUAUUGAUAUUUGAAUUUUGAAUGUUUAAUCAUUUUGACCAAUUGAUUAUAUAUAUGGUUUGGUUCUUUUACAUGUAUAAUAAAAUUAGAAAUUAUUAAAUUAAAAAGAAUGGUAGGAAUUUUAAUUUCUAACUUCUUAUAAUAUAUCAUUUAUACCUUGAUCUAAAUAGAGGUUACAAAUUACAUAGAAGUGAAGAGAAUGAUAUCAAUCAAAACAUCAGCCUUACUAUUUAUAUAAGACAUCAUUAUAUUUAUGGUCAUCUCAUUAUGCCAUAGAAAGUUUUUAAUGCUUAAAAAGUCUUUUCAUUGUUGUUUUUCAUUAUGGUCAUCUCAUUUCGUAUUGCUAUCCCACUUCUUAAAGUGAUAGGUAUAAACUUAACCUAAUUAUUCCAAAUUUGAUUUGAGAUAAUUUCAGGAAACAUGCAUUCACCACUCAAGCGUGGGAUCCAUGCGCUUUUGUUUUCAAAAAAAAAAAAACAAAGAACGCUGUUUGUAUGCGAUUUCUUCUCUUAUAAAUAGGAUAGGAUUUACUUCUCCUAAUUUUUUCAGAUUAUUAUAUUGGUUACUUUAAAAGAAUCUUUCACAACUAUACUGAGAUAUUAUGAUCUUAAUUACCAAAAAAAUGAGAUUUAAAUCCUAUAUUGAUGCCUUAAAUUUUAAAUUGACUCCUAAAUUUAUAAGGAAAUUACAUUAGACCUUUAAUGCUAGUAAAAUUACAUUUUUUUUUAAAUAUUUCAAUUUGUAAAGCCGCAUCUAAUGAAUUAAUUUUACACAAAAUUUUAAUUAUUUGAUAUAAAUUAUUGAACGAGAAUUUUCACAUUUUUUUAAUCAUCAAGUAUUUGGUAAGUAUAAUUUUUUAAUAUAAGUGCAAUUUUAAUUAUAAAUUAAAAUGUCCGAUAUCUGUAAUUUUACAAAUUUAAGGAUUAAUUAGGUCAAUAUAAAAGUUGGAACUGCUACUAAACUUUCCUUAUAAUAUUAUGGAUUAGUUCAUAUUUAAAGUAUGUGAAUAUGGAAUUACAUAAAUAAAGGAAGAAGUCAUUCUUUAUUUUAUGCUUAGAAGGAAUUUAACAAUGUCACUUUGCAAAGUCUUGGUCUACAUUUUGUUGAUAAUUAUCAUUAGUAUAGUCACAGAAAAUCAACUCUACUUUUAACGAAAAGACUUGAUUAAAUUAACCUAUGCAGAAAAUAAAAAUGAGGUGAUGUUUGAAAAUAAUUUUGGACGGAGUGAUUAUCUUAUAAAAAUUAUAAUUUAAUCAAGAUAAAUGGAGUAUCUAUCACAUCUUCCUUCUAAAAUUACUCUCUUUGCUUUCUAAAUAAAUUCCCUCGUAAAAUAAAUUUGUUUAAGCAAAAAAUUUUGCAGAAUUUGAGAGGUUUAUAUAUAUUUUUUUAAUGGUUAAAUAUUUUCACUUAAAUAUUUCUUAUUAUUGACCUAAUUAAGUAUUUAUAUUUCUUAAUAAUUAUAAAUACUUGAUAAGGAAUAGAAACUUGAAAUUUUUUAAUUAGAGAUAGCAUUGCAUAAAUUGAAGACCAAUUCUGCAAAGUACAAUAAAAUUCUUAUUAUUUUGUGAGUCACACAUUAUAAGCAAUAAGGCUCAUAAUUAUCCUCACCUUUCACACAUAAAAAAAAAUAAAAAAAUAAAAAAAGAAAAAAAAAAAAAGAACACCAUUCAUUCCAGUAGAAAUUACUUAAAACAUAGAAAAUAAAUAUGCUUAUUUUUUCCUUCCCGAGUAUUACCAUAACUACCAUCAUCUUGAGUGUUUCCUUAUAAGUAUUAUCUGUAGCAACUCCGGCCUCCACCUUAAGUGUUUCCACCCUGAGUAUUUCCCCCUCCUCCGCCUUGAGUGUUUCCACCAUGGGUAUUCCUUUCUCCUCCAUCUUGAGUAUUUCCUCCCUGAGUGUUGCCCCAUCCAGCUUGAGUAUUUCCACCCUGGUUAUUAACAUAUCUUCCACCUUGAGUGUUUCCUCCUUGGGUUUUACCACAUCCUUCACCUUGAGUAGUUCCUCCCUGAGUGUUAUCCCAUCCUCCUUGAGUGUUUCUGAGAGACUUGAACUUUGCUCGAAUGAUUUUGUGAAAUAUUUUCUUGUCUGCAAACCAAAGGAUCGUGAAUCCUUAUAAAGACAUAUAGGAAAUGAACUGUGACUUGGAAAUUUAGUAUUUUAUAGAUCAUAUAUAUUUAUAGUCUUUAUUUUAUCAAGACGAAAUAGGAAAGGAACUAAUGAAUUUAUUUAUAUUAUUGCAAAUUUAAUAUUUUAUCGUAUAUAAUUUCAUUAUUAACGACUUAUCGCAUUAUUUUGUUGAUUGAUGACUUAUGUUUGUCUUGACCUAUUACAGUUAUUUAUUAGUUCAACUUUUAUUUAUUAGUUAAACCUAAUUAAGAGGUUUAUAUAGUUAUUGUCGAAACUAACAGCAAUAAAUAAUUAUGAAUAAUCGAUGAGUAAUAGAAACUUGAAAUUUCUUCAUUAGAAAUAGUAUUUGCAUAAAUUGAAGAUCAAUUAUGCAAAAUACACAUAGCACAUUAACACUCUUAUUAUCGUGAGUUGUACAUUAUGAGCAAUAAGACUCAUAAUUAACCUCACCUUUCACACAAAAGAAAAACAAAAACAACACCUUGGGUAUUACCACCACCUGAAAUUACUUAAACAUAGAAAAUAUGCAUAUUUCAACCCUGAGUAUCACCACCUUGGGUAUUACCACCACCUCCACCUUGAGUGUUCCCUCCNNNNNNNNNNNNNNNNNNNNNNNNNNNNNNNNNNNNNNNNNNNNNNNNNNNNNNNNNNNNNNNNNNNNNNNNNNNNNNNNNNNNNNCCCAUCACCUCCACUUUGAGUGUUUCCUCCCUGAGUAUUGCCACCCCAUCCUCCUUGAGUGUUUCCUCCUUGAGUCGACAUUGUUUCACUAGAGAGACUUGAACUUUGCUAGAAUGUUUUUGUGAAAUAUUUUCGUGUCUGCAAACCAAAGGAUUGUGAAUCUUUAUAUAGACAUAUAGGAAAUA